UUUCCGUAGGUGAACCUGCGGAGGGAUCAUUAGUAAACACCCUCGCGUGCUUAUCGCUAUUCCAAACAUCUGUGAACCGUGCCCUUCGUGGCUAUUUUGCAAACCUGGUGUAAUGGCGGUCGUCUAGCGUAGCAACACCAAACUCUCACCAACGUAUCUCUUGGCUCUCACAUCAAUUAAGAACGCAAAAGUUCUAACAAGCAAACGCCUGAACUCCAGUCACACAUAGACAGCACCUAUGCGGACGUGUACACGUACGAAACCAAGAUAAAAGGAAAA
rnacentral:misc_RNA from 1 species